rnacentral:tRNA from 1 species
UGGCUCAGAUGGUAAAGAAUCUGCUUGCAAUGCAGGAGACCUGGGUUCAAUCCCCAG